GACAUAGUCAGAACAUGGCAGCUUCUAGAAUUGGUUCAAUCUUCUGCUCGAGUGGCAGAGGCCAAAGGCCUGGAGCCGACCAAGGAGAGAUUAUCUAGGUUAAGAAUCAUCAGUGGCUGAUCAUCCCUCAAAGACAAACAACUAGACAAGAUGUGGCUCCUGAUAGAAGAACGCAGGCCACCACUUACGAAACACCUUGGCUGCCUCCCUCCCCCAGGAAACAAGGCAUGAAGAGAAAACCAACCUCUCCUUUCUGGUUGAUGAUGGGAACAGCAUAUUGUAACUUCACAUCAUAGAAAAGGGACUCGAGGAAGACAUUGGCCACCCCAAUGAGACUGUGAUUUUCCUGCUCAUCAUAGAAUGGAUCAGCACGUUUGAAGUACGAUCGUAUUACCUGUAAAGAGAUUGAGAACAUACAACUUCAGAAAAAUCAUUUACAAUAAAUGCAUUCAACCUAC
rnacentral:antisense_RNA from 1 species